CUGCUCUUUUCAUCAUUUCUUUUCUUCAUAUUUUUCAAAAUCAUCCUUAUCAACAAUAGGUUUGUAUCUAUUUCUUGAAUAACAAAUUCCUACAAAAAAAGAAUUAUUUUCUAAAGAUUAUCUGUUAUAACGCAAAAUUGUUCUUGCUUCUUGUAAAACUCCAUUAUGGCUACACCUCGAAAGAGUCCUAGUCUAAUGAAAAACAAUACCAAUUUCAACAGUCUCAUUCUAUGUACAACACCAAAUUUUCAGUUGAUUGCUUCCACCUCUUCUCCAACAGUAGUGAAGUUCGUAUAAUUGAGGUGAUUGAAACAAACAAUUAAAGGGUAAAGAGAAAGAAGAUACUUUCGUUAAAACCAAUUAUGGAGGAAAAAAGAGUAAAGAGAAAUCUUUACGAAUGCUAAGGGUCCUCACGAUAGCAAGUUUGAAGACCAUAUACCAAUUGCAAAAAGAAUCCGUCUCAACAAGAAAUAUGGUGUACAUCAUGGAAAACAAAAGUUAUUAAACGUGGUGGUAAUAUGAGAAGGACGAAUAUGAAAAGGACAAAGUUAUCCAAGGUUCAACCCGAACUCAUCAGAAGAUUGAUGUAUGCUGAGACAAAAAAUAAUCGCAACAAUAUGUUCAUCAUCAAUUUGAACGGUAAAGAUCUACAUUUUGGCAUAAAGAAAUUUAGCCUUGUAAAUGUUUUCAAAUGUGAGGGACAUACAGAUUUUAUUUUUGACCCUGAUAGUCCAUCGAAGCUUAUGAGUUUGUACUUUUCUAAUUCAUCUGGUAAAGUUCUUAAGGCUGAUCUAAUUAGAGUUAAAAAAAAGAAGAAGGGUUGAUUAAGGAUGAAUUUUCAACAUCACCAUUCUUUACUUUACUAGAUGAGCGUCGUCCGUGCUAAAUACGGGCCCAACGUUUAAAAUUUUAUCAUAAUUUUACUUCUAUUUGAUUAACCUAUGAAAUAUAUUUGAGAAUCAACAUAGUAAAAAAUAUUUUUUUAAAUAACUGUAAUUUCAAAAUACACAAUGUCUAUUAUUUUAGUAAUGAAUCAUAUUUCACCACUUGUUAAUAUUGCUUGGCUUUCAUGGCACAACUGGCUUUUUUGCUUGUCGUUGGGCAUUCAUGUUUGGGAAAGGCUUAUUUAUGCACCAACUAUUAUGAUUCAUGCUACUGUUACAAUUUAUACAACUAAUGUUUCCAAAGGGUUAUAUAAUAGGGGUCUCAAAACAGGUAUCAAAAAGAUGUGUUGAGAUCUAGAACAAAGUUGAGUCAUUUUUUGCCCUAUUUGUGUCUAUUACUUUGCUCUUCCUCCCACUUUCGACGUCUUGCUUGCUAGUGGUCACCACUGUGUCCGUCCCCCAAAAUGAUAAGGAACUGAAUACACCAAUAUAACUAUGUAAGAGUUGUAGUGGAAAUAGCAAGGUCGAAUCUUGUACACAACUUCAGACAGCUUCUUAACGAGUGCAAUAAUCAAACAAAUUUUAUGAAAAACAAGGUAGAAUGCAACUGUAAACAGGGUUAUUCAAUUCAAUAUAAUGCUUUAGAUGAUGCCUUGCAAGUACAUAUUUCGAACAUUGUAACUUUCAACCCAUGUUGCGCGAACUCUUCAAAAAUGACAGGUGAGUGUAGAAUCUGACAUGUGUGGGACAGUCAAAGUGAAGGGCCUACACAACAUAACUUUCAACACACCAUAAUAUUGUUAUUUUCUAACAUGGUCAAUGAGUAUUCUUAUAACCGACCUUACAUGUUUGAGACUUGGGCAUGAUUGUUUUUAUCGUUAUUAUUGUAUUUCAAGAUUGUUGAUUGUUGCCUUUUAGGUCCUUUCCUAUUUAAGAUUUUGGUAAAGCUAUGAGCUUUAGAGGAAGACUUGUAUUUUCAGCCUAUUUGAAUUGCAACUGUCUUGAUUAAUUUUGCCAAGAGUGUAAUUUCUAUAGAUUGAAUGGGUAACAGAAAGUGAUGGUCUUUUAUGUGAAUAGUAUAAAAAAGACAUUGAUGUAAAUACAAAAAAUUUAACGUGUAACAGCGAAGAACUUUGUACGCUCAUUUAUCAAAAGUUGUCUGACUGUUGAGCAGAUUAUUAUAUCAUUGCAAAUUUUCCUAUAAGAAAGUUUAGCCUUAAUUCAGUAAUUGGUAUAGACAUACUAUGAUGUGAUAAUCUUCAUGUCACAACUGUUAUUUUUUUCAUGUCUCCAUGUUCUCCUCCAGGCAUGAGGCUAGAUUUUGUUAGCACUAAGAAAAAGAAUGUUAUCAUUUCUAAUACAUUUUAAAGUCACCAGUCAAAGAAGAAAACAAACAGCAAAUAGUUCAUUAAGACUAUGGACAAACAUACUACUCUAUCCUAUUUCACAACUGUUACCAACUAUAAAGAAGCAUCCAUCUCAAUUAAGGCUGCAACAUAAAAUAAAAUAAAACAUGUAUUAUUACACACUAACACAAAUAAAAGUAAGCUCGAGUGUUCAGUUACAAACACUAAUAUUGUAUAAACUGCAAAUGGUUGAUUCCUAACACCUGUCUAUUGUGUAAACUACACAUGAGAGAUAAACGGUUAGAAUGAAAACUUCUUAGAUAGAAACAUAAUGCAGAUAACAUAAAGCAAUGCAGAAAUCUCAUAAUGUACCACAGACAUCAAGCAUCACCCCUAAAAAUCACUGUCUAUAUGAACUUCACAAAGCACAACAAUGUCCCAAGUCAAUAAAGGUUACAGAUUGAGAUAGAUUCACUAAAAUAGUCCACUUUCAAUGAAUCAUCUCCACACCACCUUAAUAAUGGUGAAUGUGUACACAAGAUUCAUAUAAGAGAAGCUGGAAAGAUAGAGGUCUGAAUCUGACCAUCAGAAUGUUUUCCGUGUCAUAAUUUGGCCAACUAAGUAUUCACUGAAAAUGUAAAAUUUAUCAGGUUUGACGUAUUGAUGGCAGUGAAAAGACUCUGAUACCCAAAGAAGACAUUAAUAAAUUCUACAAUGGAUAUUGCUACAUUGUUCUCUACACAUACCAUUCUCAUGAACGAAAAGAAGAUUAUUACUUAUGUUGGUGGAUUAAAAAAGAUAGCAUCGAGGAGAAUCAAGAAAUGGUUACACAAUUGGCUAGCACAAUGUGCAAUUUACUUAAAGGGAGACCUAUGCUGGUAUUAUUUUUUUUGCUUAUUGUUUUUUCAGUCAAAAACUCAAAAUUAAUCUUAGUGUGACAUUUACGUUAUCCAGGGUUGAGGAUAUCAAGGGAAAGAACCAGCACAAUUUGUUGCAAUAUUUCAGCCCAUGUUGGUUCUUAAGGUAUCUCUCCAUAUUAUCAUGAUAGAGCUAUUGAUGUCGUUUGGACGUAUAAAAUAACCAUGACAAGUCUCUUUCCUUUUAUCAGGGUGGAUUAAGCUCUGGCUAUAACAAUCAUAUUGAAGAAAAUGUCUUGAAUGAUGAAACCUAUGCUUCUGAUAUUGUUGGCCUUUUCAGGAAAUCUAGAAUUUCUAGUCAUAACAACAAUGUAGUUCAAGUCAAUGUUUCUACCUUUUAUGAAAAUUUAAUCAAGGCUAUGUCUUUAACGGCAUCAUACCAUGCUUUUAUUUUUCUAACCAUGAAACAAUACAUUCAUCCGACUCUAUUUGAUAUGUUUAUUAAAGUUUCAGAGCUUUUAUUUAAUACAUAGACAGAAAUCGAGGGAUAGCUAUAUGAAUAAGAAAAAAAAGAUAAAUAUAUGACAGAAGGACAAAAAAUUGAUGAAGAACUUACCUGGAAUUGAAAGAAGAGAGGACUAAACAAACUUGAUAUCAUAA